rnacentral:rRNA from 1 species
GACGAACGCUGGCGGCGUGCUUAACACAUGCAAGUCGAACGGAAAGGCCCUGCUUUUGUGGGGUGCUCGAGUGGCGAACGGGUGAGUAACACGUGAGUAACCUGCCCUUGACUUUGGGAUAACUUCAGGAAACUGGGGCUAAUACCGGAUAGGAGCUCCUGCUGCAUGGUGGGGGGUGGAAAGUUUCGGCGGUUGGGGAUGGACUCGCGGCUGAUCAGCUUGUUGGUGGGGUAGUGGCUUACCAAGGCUUUGACGGGUAGCCGGCCUGAGAGGGUGACCGGCCACAUUGGGCCUGAGAUACGGCCCAGACUCCUACGGGAGGCAGCAGUGGGGAAUAUUGCACAAUGGGCGGAAGCCUGAGGCAGCAACGCCGCGUGCGGGAUGACGGCCUGCGGGUUGUAAACCGCUUUCGCCUGUGACGAAGCGUGAGUGACGGUAAUGGGUAAAGAAGCACCGGCUAACUACGUG